rnacentral:rRNA from 1 species
CGCGUAGGCGGCCGCUUGCGUCGGAUGUGAAAGCCCGGGGCUCAACCCCGGAACGGCAUCCGAUACGGGGCGGCUCGAGACCGAGAGAGGUGAGUGGAAUACCCAGUGUAGAGGUGAAAUUCGUAGAUAUUGGGUGGAACACCGGUGGCGAAAGCGGCUCACUGGCUCGGUUCUGACGCUGAGGCGCGAAAGCGUGGGGAGCAAACAGGAUUAGAUACCCUGGUAGUCCACGCCCUAAACGAUGUGGGCUGGGCGUCGGGGGGCUUGCCCCUCGGUGCCGGAGCUAACGCGGUAAGCCCACCGCCUGGGGAGUACGGCCGCAAGGUUAAA